UUAAAUCAUGUCAAAAGCUCAAAAAGUAAAGCAAAUGUAAACAUUGGAAUUAGUAUUUGGCUUUAAGUCUCUUCAAAUGUUUUCCAAAUCGUUGACAAAUUAAGAUUUCAUUAAUUUAUAAACGGAACAAGAAAUUAAGCUGGAGCACAAAAUCCAUACUUGAGCAUGAGAUGGUUUCAUGAAUACAGGCCCUGAAGUAAACACCACUGUUCUUCUAGCCACAUGGUUCAUGCAUCAGUUACUAAGUAAAGGUCAUUUUACUAAACUCCCAUUCUGGGUGUAAUUGCUUACAUCAACAUUCAUAUUACAGAUAUCUACCUGCCUGUAGCCUGGUGUGUAAAUAUACAGUAAUAUAAGGAUGUUAACAACAAUAACAAGUAUUAUCCUCUCUGGGAGUAUCUCCUCAAUAGUAAUAUUAUCACUAUUUUUAUUUAUAUUGUUCAAGCCUCUAUGUGAUAAUUGUUAGUCAGUGGCUACAUUGCCUAUCCCUAUACGUGACGUCAUUGUUUUCCAUUAUGUUGAACCAUUUCCUCAGAAAAUAAAGAGGUUUGCACACUGCUUCUCACCAUCAGCAACCAAGCCUUUUACAAGGUGCUUAUUGAAUAAUGAACAGUCAAAAUAAUAAUGAAUAUUUUGGUCUCACGUAGCUACAUAUGUACUGCAAGUAUGUCAAAAUGGAAAAAUGGUAUCCAGGGUUUAAUUCAAGGUUAAGUGCAUGAUGCAAAGGGUUGCUCACAGUCGUGCCUCAAUCCUGAUGUAUAGUUUGCGAUAAUUUAUGUGAUAUAUUGUAACGUAUGUCUUACAUGACCUAAAAAAUGUUAUCUUACAUCGGAAGGGUUAUGUUUUUAUGUUAAUUAUAAAUGUAAAGAAUGAAUUUCAUUAUGAGUUUUUAUUUUAAGUAAUUAACCAAACUAAAUUUCUUAAGUUUCUACUCUGUCUUGUACUAAAAAGAUUUUUACCAUAACAAAUAUCACACUGCGACCCUGUGCCAUGGAGCAGUUCUAGUCAAUACAAAAUUGAAGGUUAUAAAAGAGAAUAGCUAGUUUUCAAAUGCUACAAUGAACUCACCUUAUCCUUAUUAUUGUUUAUAGAUACACAUUCCACAGGUGAUUGUGAUAUACUGUAUAUAUGUACAUUUGUUAAUUCAUAGAUAUGCUGAUUUUCAUCUGUUUGUACAGGAUCUGAUUGUAAAUACAUUCACGUUGAAAUAAAUUUUUAUUUGUAA